rnacentral:rRNA from 1 species
AUGGGCGCGCUUCGGCUGACGCCUCUGCUGCUCCUGGUGCUGCUCGCCGCCGCCGCGGGGAGGGCGGCCGGGGCGGGGCCGCGGCCGAGCGAGGUCGCCGUGGGCGCGCUCUUCACCUACGACUCCGUCAUUGGCCGCGCGGCGCGGCUCGCCAUCGAGCUCGCCGUCGACGACGUCAACGCGGACCGCACGGUGCUCGCCGCCACCCGGCUCAGCCUCGUCGCCCAGGACACCAACUGCAGCGGCUUCCUCGGGACCAUCGAAGCAUUGGAGCUAAUGGAGAAAAAUGUAGUUGCUGUUAUUGGCCCACAAUCAUCUGGAAUAGGCCAUGUCAUCUCCCAUGUUGUUAACGAGCUACAUGUUCCUCUUCUAUCAUUUGCGGCCACUGAUCCGACGCUUUCCGCGUCAGAGUAUCCUUACUUCAUAAGGACAACCAUGAGUGACUACUUCCAGAUGAACGCCGUUGCUAGCAUUGUCGAUUACUACCAGUGGAAAGAGGUGACCGCUAUAUUCGCCGACGAUGAUUAUGGGCGAGGUGGCGUGUCGGCCCUCGGCGACGCACUUGCAACAAGGAGGGCAAAGAUUUCACACAAAGCAGCCAUUCCUCCAAAUUCAAACACAGAGGUGAUCAAUGACGUGUUGUUCAGAGCAAAUAUGAUGGAAUCAAGGGUCAUGGUUGUGCAUGCCAAUCCUGACACAGGGAUGAGGAUCUUUUCUGUUGCCAACAAGCUUCAGAUGAUGGCCAGUGGCUAUGUCUGGAUAGUAACUGACUGGCUAGCUGCUGUCCUGGAUUCCUCGGCAUCUAGAGAUCUUAAAGGUAUGAGUCAUAUUCAGGGACUGGUUGUUCUUCGCCAGCACACUCCUGAAUCUGAUGCCAAGGAUAAGUUCACCACCAAAUGGAACAAUGCCGCUCGUAGCAGAGGCAUUAAUUCUGGCUUGAAUUCGUAUGGUUUUUAUGCAUACGACUCGGUCUGGGCUGUCGCUCGCGGCAUCGACCAAUUUCUUGAUAAUGGGCAGCAGGUCAACUUCUCUGCAGAUCCAAGGCUGCACCGUUCAAAAGAUAGUACUUUGCAGCUGUCAACUCUCAAGGUAUUUGAUGGUGGUGAGCAGAUGCUGCAGCAGCUUCUGCUCACGAAUUUCACAGGCCUAACUGGUCUGGUGCAAUUUGGUCCGGACCGCAACCUGGUACGCCCAGCAUAUGAUAUCCUUAAUGUGGGUGGUUCUGGUUCCCGGUUGAUUGGCUACUGGUCCAACUACUCAGGCCUCUCUGUCGCUGCUCCUGAAACUUUGUAUCAGAAGCCAUCAAAUGCUUCUUCAGUUGCCCAACGGCUCUACAAUGUGGUCUGGCCAGGUGAUUCCACCACUACACCUAAGGGGUGGGUUUUCCCGAACAAUGGUCAGCCUCUGCGCGUCGGUGUUCCGAUCAAGGCGAGCUUCAAGGAGUUAGUGGCAGGUGGCAGGGGCUCUGAUAAUGUGACUGGCUAUUGCAUCGAUAUAUUCAACGCGGCUAUCAGACUGCUUCCUUACCCGGUUCCUUGCCAGUUCAUAACAAUCGGGGAUGGUAAAAAGAACCCUAACUACGACGACAUUAUUAGUAUGGUUGCUGACAAUUCCCUUGAUGCAGCUGUAGGAGACUUUGCCAUUGUGAGAAACAGAACAAAGAUGGCAGAAUUCACGCAGCCUUAUAUUGAGUCAGGGCUUGUGAUAGUAGCACCGGUGCAAAGAGCACCUUCGAGUGCCUGGGCUUUCAUGAAACCCUUUACAUUGGAGAUGUGGUGUGUAACAUGCGCUCUUUUUAUUUUCGUGGGGAUUGUUGUUUGGAUUCUUGAACAUCGGACCAAUGAGGAGUUUCGAGGCUCUCCGCGACGACAAAUUAUAACAAUAAUUUGGUUUAGCUUCUCAACAAUGUUCUUCUCACACAGGCAGAACACGGGGAGCGCGCUUGGGCGGUUCGUGUUGAUCAUAUGGUUGUUCGUUGUGCUGAUAAUCAAUUCGAGCUAUACUGCUAGCUUGACGUCAAUCCUCACAGUUCAACAGCUAUCUACAGGAAUAACCGGGAUCGACAAUCUGAUUUCAAGUGGUUUACCUAUUGGAUACCAGGCUGGAAAAUUCACCAAAAACUACCUGAUUGAAGAGCUCAGUAUCCCCGAGUCUCGAUUAGUAGCGCUGAAUACGAUCAAGGAGUAUGCCGACGCCCUUAGACGCGGGUCAGGAGACGGAGGCGUCGCUGCAAUCGUUGAUGAGAUGCCAUAUGUUGAGAUCUUCCUGUCAUACCACUGCGAUUUCAGAAUAGUGGGGCAGGAGUUCACCAAGGAGGGAUGGGGCUUUGCAUUCCAGAGAGACUCCCCCCUCGCCGCGGAUUUAUCGACGGCCAUCCUUCAACUUUCAGAGAGUGGCCAGCUCCAGAGGAUCCACGACGAGUGGUUCACCAGGCCGAGCUGCUCCACUGAUGACACUGAGGUGGGAGCAACCAGCCUUGGCCUCCGAAGCUUCUGGGGCCUUUUCCUCGUGUGUGCCCUGAUAUGCCUCUUGGCUCUGCUGGUGUUCUUCAUACGGGUCUGCUGGCAAUAUAGCCGCUACUCUAGCUCUGAAGCUGCCGGUGAGCCCGGUGCAGCCGAUGCUGUCGGCCCCACCGCCGCUGCCGCCAAUGCUGUCGAAAGGCAGCGGAGACCGUCACGCUUUGGCAGCUUCAGAGAGCUGGUAGAGUUUGUUGACAAGAAGGAGGCAGAAGUCAAGAGAGCGAUGAAGCGGAGACCGAGCGAGAAAGAUAACCAGGCCGCAGGAUCCUCGGAUACUCAGCCAGUGUCUUGA